rnacentral:rRNA from 1 species
UACGUAGGGGGCUAGCGUUGUCCGGAUUUAUUGGGCGUAAAGAGCGUGUAGGCGGCCAGGUAGGUCUGCUGUGAAAACUCGAGGCUCAACCUCGAGACGUCGGCGGAAACCAUCUGGCUAGAGUCCGGAAGAGGAGAGUGGAAUUCCUGGUGUAGCGGUGAAUGCGCAGAUAUCAGGAAGAACACCCGUGGCGAAGGCGGCUCUCUGGGACGGUACUGACGCUGAGACGCGAAAGCGUGGGGAGCGAAACAGG